CGAAAUCAGAGGCCCAAUAUAACCUCAAGGUGGUAUUAAUAUUAAAAAAUUAACAUUGAAAUACAGAUGAGAUCGAUUUGCGUGAAUAGUCGAUACAUUUGGCGCUCGACAAUUACUAUAUAUACCCAAAUUCUGUGAUAAAAUAGACGAAGUUAAAGCAUUUUGGUUGGUUUGAAAAGCGUAAUACGAAAUAAACGUGUGAAUUCGCCGCAACUUUUAAAUAUACGCACCAAAUAUAUCCGUUUCACUUAAGCAUGUACGCUAGUUGAAUAUUUCGUGUUUAUGUAGCCUCUCGAUCUUGUUAUAAUUCCCCCAGCGGCGGUUUCAUUAAAUGGAAAUAACUUCAUCGGUAUUUGAGCCAACGUAUUCAUUAGGCCACCAGAAGAGUAAAAGCACUUGACCACGGUAGAGUUAUAUUGGAUAAACAGCAUAAACUGCGUCUCACUGGAUCGUACAUCGAUACUUGAGCCAACGUAUUCUUUUGUCCACCAGGCGAGUACAAGUCCUUGCCCGCGGCAGAGUUAUGUUUGAAUAAACUACGUCUCACUGAAUCACAUAUCGGUACUUGAGCCAACAUAUUCCUUUGUCCACCAGAAGAGUAAAAAGCGCUUGCCCGCGGUAGAGUUAUAUUUUGAAAAUCUUUCGAUAAUGUUACUCUGUCGACAUCUCAGAGUAAAUUACGUUAUUUUGCAUGAACUCGUGCAUGUUAUGUGCCAAUUAGGAUGGGCUGUGUUGUGCCCUAUGAUUGGUCAAAGCACAGAACCGAGUCGUACAAGGUUUUCAAUUGGUUCACAGUGUGUUUCACGAUUUGUUCACGUGAAUGUGUGCUAGCUGGCAGAAGAUGAUCUUUGACCUAUCUGUCAAGACCUUAGACCUAACUGUCAAAGAUUAGGUUGAUAUAAACCAUAUCUACCUCCUCAUCUUACCAUCACACCUUGUCUCAUUAACUUAAAUUUAUA